rnacentral:lncRNA from 1 species
AGUUGCUGAUGUCUCUAUGUCCCCUUCUAUGUGGCAAGUCCUUGGAGAUGACAGAGUGAAGAGAAGGACCCAGCCCUGCCGUCAAGGACUAGCAGAGUGGCCUGCACAAGGACAGUGCUUGGUGAGGACAGAAGUGAAUGGGGAACCAAGCCUGGAGAGACAGAGCUAAAAUAUAAAGAAGAGAGAGAGAAUAGCACGAGAGAGGUGAAUUCGCCUCCUACAUGGGCACAAGAAGGUGACACCAUGCUCCAAGGGGCAGGAUGGAAAGAGAGAGGCUGCGGUGACCUGCAGGAAACUGCCAGGUAUGGCUCUGCAGCCACUGCUCAGGGCCCACAAGUGCCGGCAUCUCCCAGGAAAGAUGAGGUGUUCACCUAAAAGUCAGGUGGUCAGAAACUGGGGUGGGGGUUAGGAGAACCACUGUUCUUCAUGAGUUGAAAACAAAACAUUGAGAAGAAGGACAGAAUCAGAGCUGCGGAGAUCCUGAUGCACUGGAACUAG